GGGAGUGCAGCUCAGUGGUAGAGCAUUUGCCUAGCAUGUCUAGUGCCCUGGGUUCAAUCCCCAAUAUUUCUA
rnacentral:tRNA from 1 species